rnacentral:rRNA from 1 species
UACGAAGGGUGCAACCGUUGCUCGGAAUCAUUGGGCGUAAAGCGCACGUAGGCGGCUUUGCAAGUCUGACGUGAAAUCCCUCAGCUCAACUGAGGAAGUGCAUCGGAAACUGCAAGGCUUGAGUACUGAAGAGGAUCGCGGAAUUCCCGGUGUAGAGGUGAAAUUCGUAGAUAUCGGGAGGAACACCAGUGGCGAAGGCGGCGAUCUGGGCAGAUACUGACGCUGAGGUGCGAAAGCGUGGGGAGCAAACAGG